ACUCGGACAGGUGGGAAUACACCAAACGCUCAGAUGAAACUCCGAGACAUUCGAAGAAAGUGUGUGCCAAUGAAAACAAAAACAUACAUUCUACUUUACCCACCAGCUGGUCCAUCCUAGCUUUUGAGAGCGGGAACGAAACCAAAAGAGAAGGGAUCUAAUUCUGCACAACUCGAAGACUCGAAACGCCAUAAUAGUGUUUCCAACCUUUUCCAGUCCACCUGGCCAUGCUGCUGCUCCAGUUUCAACUGUUCUGCCUGCGGCUAUGGAACCCUGACCUGUUCACCUGACGUGCUACCUGUCCCAGACCUGCUGUUUUCAACUCUUGAGACAGCAGGAGCGGUAGAGAUACUCUCAAUGAUCGGCUAUGAAAAGCCAACUGACAUUUACUCCUGAGGUGCUGACUUGUUGCACCCUCGACAACCACUGUGAUGAUUGUUAUUUGACCAUGCUGGUCAUUUAUGAACAUUUGAACAUCUUGGCCAUGUUCUGUUAUAAUCUCCACCCGGCACAGCCAGAAGAGGACUGGCCACCCCUCAUAGCCUGGUUCCUCUCUAGGUUUCUUCCUAGGUUUUGGCCUUUCUAGGGAGUUUUUCCUAGCCACUGUGCUUCUGCACCUGCAUUGCUUGCUGUUUGCGGUUUUAGGCUGGGUUUCUGUUGAGCACUUUGAUAUAUCAGCUGAUGUAAGAAAGGCU